GCGAGGGUUGCCGAGCCAGGUCAAAGGCGUUAGGUUCAGGGCCUAAUCUUGUAGGAGUUCGAGGGUUCGAAUCCCUUCCCUCGCA
rnacentral:tRNA from 1 species